AUCCCAUGAUGCGGGCACUUUUGAAGAAACUACUUAAACCUUUCCCAAGCAUCAUAUAGAGACUCCCCCUCCACUGAUGGAAAUUAUUAAUCUCUCCCCUAAUCUGGGU